rnacentral:rRNA from 1 species
UUGCUCUUCAACGAGGAAUGCCUAGUAAGCGCGAGUCAUCAGCUCGCGUUGAUUACGUCCCUGCCCUUUGUACACACCGCCCGUCGCUACUACCGAUUGAAUGGCUUAGUGAGGCGUUCGGACUGGCUCAGGGAGGUCGGCAACGACCACCCAGAGCCGGAAAGUUCGUCAAACUUGGUCAUUUAGAGGAAGUAAAAGUCGUAACAAGGUUUCCGUAGGUGAACCUGCGGAAGGAUCAUUACCGAGAUAGGGCCUCCGGGCCCGACCUCCAACCCCAUAUCUACCUUCUUAUGUUGCCUCGGUGGGCCGCCGCAAGGCCGUCGGCACUCGUGCUCUCGAGCGCCCGCCAGAGGACCAACCAAACCCUGCUCAUCGUAGACUUCUGAGUGAGAAACACAAUAACUUCAAAACUUUCAACAACGGAUCUCUUGGUUCUGGCAUCGAUGAAGAACGCAGCGAAAUGCGAUAAGUAAUGUGAAUUGCAGAAUUCAGUGAAUCAUCGAAUCUUUGAACGCACAUUGCGCCCCUUGGUAUUCCGAGGGGCAUGCCUGUUCGAGCGUCAUUACGACCAAUCAAGCUCUGCUUGGCCUUGGGCCGCGCCCCCGCGAGGGGACGGGCUCCAAAGAACUCAGCGGUGCCGCGAGGCCCCGAGGCGUAGUAAAUUUACAAACCGCUUCGUGGACCUUGCGAGCGCCCGCUCCCAACGACCAACAACCUCUAGGUUGACCUCGGAUCAGGUAGGGAUACCCGCUGAACUUAAGCAUAUCAAUAAGCGGAGGA